rnacentral:tRNA from 1 species
GGCAACGUCACUCAGCUGGUAGAGCAUAUGCUGUAAAAAGCAUAGGUGGCGUCCAUGCGUGGAUUCGAAUCCCAUCGAGGCUA